ensembl:lncRNA
CUAGCUAAGCAGUAGCAGCACUUAAAAUAUCGCAUUACGGUUUGAUAGCAAAUGAAGGAACAAACAUUCUUGCUCCCAAAGGAAAGUAAUUAGGAAUAGGAGUUAUAUUAAUGCAGCCUGGACUUCAAUUUGUAAGUCAAUUUAACCUAUCAUACCGAGGGAACCGAGGGAAUCCUUGAACUAGGAGGCAGGCAAGCGAGACUUGGUCCAGGUAAAAAAUACGUUUUCUGAUACAGGUCUGAUUAAACAGAUAAACAACCAAACAAAACCUAAUUCUUUAACUGAAUAAACUUAUCACCUCAUCUGACAUGUGCCCUCAGCUUCACAGAUGCUCCACCAUUUCCCCCAACAGUCAAUGUCCUCCACCUUUAUAGCGCCGUCAAUCAAUGUGCACAGGUGACACCCAUUAUGACAAUCCAACCCGAUGAUGUCACUGCUGACAUCAUCCCCUGCACAAACACCAGGCCUCACUGCCUACCCUCUCCUCUAGCUUCCAGCACACCUGCAGAGUAUGGCAAGCAUUCAACCCACAUACUCACUCCUCGGAGUCACGAGACAAGAAGUCAGAGCCAACAUUCUGGGGUCUCGGUCUGUACUGGAUCUGAAAACGAUAAGGCUGGAGAGACAAGUGCCAUCUGGUAAUUCGGGCAUUAGGGUCUUUCAUUUUGUGAAUCCACUGCAAGGCACGGUGGUCCGACUCAAGAACAAACUCUUUGCCAAUGUGGUAGUACCUCAACGUGUCCAAUUCCAAACCUACUAACCCCAAGAACGAUCGCAGCCUCCUCUUGGUGUUGGGCAGCCGCAAUUGCCUCAACCUUUCCUACCUGAGGACGGAUGGCCCCCCAUCCAAUCACAUAACCAAGGUACUGGACCUCCGGCUUAACAAUGUGACACUUCUUGGCAUUGAUGACCAAACCAGCUCCGUGGAUGCGUCUGCAGACAUCGGCAAGAUGUUGUACAUGCUCCUCCCAUGUCCGGCUGAAGAUAACGCUAUCAUGAAUGUAAGCUGCUGCAUAGUCCUCUGCUCCUCUCCGCACUUCAUCAACCAAUCUUUGGAAUGUUGCUGGUGCGCCAUGUAGGCCAAAGGGCAUCAUUCUUAAUCUGAACAGGCCGCUGGGAACCCUGAAUGUUGUCAAGUCCUUUGAUGAUUCCGAUAAGGGCACUUGCCAGUACCCUUUACACAGGUCAAGGGUGGUUAGGAAAUUAGCAUUCCCCAACCGCUCAAUCAGUUCAUCAACCCUUGGCAUUGGAUAGGAAUCAAAGGCAGACACAGCAUUUAACUUUGAGAAGUUAACACAGAAUCUCUUCUUCGGAUCAUCUUUCUUUGGCACCAAAACCACCGGGCUACACCACUCACUCCGCGAAGGCUCGAUGAUUCCUGUAGCCAGCAUCUCCUGCUUUAAUCCUGGGACAAGUCUGGCUGGAAUGCGGCAGGUGGUGUCCCUGAUUGGCCGCUGCACUGGUGAAUGCAGAUGAAUGUGAUGCUCGAUGAGGUUUGUACAACCUCGCUUUAGACUAAAGAGAUCUCUAUGCAUGAAUGACUGUAGUUUCCUGCGUUUUCCUGGCUCCAGAUGACUCAGAUCUGGAAACACUGGAGUCUCCGUUGACGUGGGCAAGCAUUCAACCCACAUACCACCAUGGGGACAAAGGUGAGUUGUCACCUACUUUGUCACAGUGUGCCACAAAGGGGAGCCUACUAAAGCAUUACAGACUUCUACACGGUACACUUGGACAAUCCCAGCCAUGUCUAUAUGACAGUUGCCGUUGCUCAUUUAAAAAACAGAAUGCCCUUCGCACACAUUUGUCCAGAUACCAUUCAGCUUGUUUAGUUUGCAGUGCUUGUUGUUCUACAGAGAAGGACUAUUUUCAUCAUAUAUUGGCAGUCACUCGAAGAGCCACGAAACAGUCUUUUGUGAAUUUGAAGGAUGUAACUUUUGGACAAAUAUAUACAAUACAUUUAUAAAGCACAAAAGCAGAUCACACAAAUCCUGUUAUUUGAGGGGUUUUAAGGAAGGUGUGUAUGGGAGUCACCCAAAUCCGACUGAUUUAUCAGAGGCCAGUGAUGUUGAGGGCACUAGUGUCGAUUUUGGGGGAAAGUACAUCUGACUUAGUUCUUAGUUCUACUUCUCCUUAAGCUAGAAUGCAUCUAUAAUGCCUCAGUGAAGUGCAUUGAUGCCUUGGUUGAAGACCUUCACUUUCAUAUCAACAUCAGCAUCUUUUGCUAUUGUUAUAAACAUACUUUAUUCAACUUUGAAGCCAAAUAAAUGCAUUGUUGACCAGGACAUCAUAACUGACUUGGCAACAGUUGUGAACUCUCAAUCCCAUUAGUACACAAUGGAGUAGGUGGUCCACUUGGUUCGGAUUAUAAGAGAAGAAGCUUUAUUAAAAGGCGCAUUUCCAGUGUGUUGAGGUUGUUGAAUAUAUACACUUGAUUGUCAAAAGAACAAGACCUUUUAAUAUGUGCCUAUUCUUAAGACUUUGCAGAAAAUCUUAAAGAAAAGACAUAGCAGAGGGAAUCUUAUCUAGACAUUCGGAAAGUACUGAUUAUAUAAAGUCCAUUUUUGAUGGAAAGUGUUUCAAGCUAAAUUUACUUUAAUGUUGGAGAAGAAGCUAGGCUCUCUAUCAUUGUGCUUGGUGUAUGUUAAACUUUUUUUUUCUAUGAAGGAAUUUUCAAUACUACCGUAGAAAUCGGGGCUAUGACUACAUGCUUGCCAUCUUGACCGGGGCGACUGUGGGUGAGUGGGGAGCACGGUCGCCCUCCAAUCAGAGGGUUGUCGGUUCGAUCCCAGGCCCGGCUAACCCUCAUUUCGUUGUGUCCUUGGGCAAGACACUUAACCCAACAUUGCUCCUGUAGCUGCGACUACAGUGUGUGAAUGUUAGUUACUGAUGGCAGGUGUCACUGUGUGUGGUUCUCCUGUCAUCAGUGUAUGAAUGGGUGUGAAUGGGUGAAUGAUGUCAUCAGUGUGUGAAUGGGUGUGAAUGGGUGAAUGAUGUCAUGUAGUGUUAAAGCGCUUUGAGUGGUCAGAAGACUAGAAAAGCGCUAUACAAGUACAGUCCAUUUACCAUUUACCAUUACCAUGGCCUGACGAUCCAAGUUCUGGUUGUCCUCCCGCUGGCCAUGCAACACUGCCUGGGUCUUCAGCGAUAUGGUGAGUUGGCACCCAAAGAGGACCAGCGGAGCAUUGAGGUCAAGCUCUGUCCACGCUGCUGCCGGCUACAUAGUUCUCCAGUGGUGAGUACAUUUCUGAGUAAAGGUAAAAGAAGUCAACGAAGCCAGAGACCCAGCUGGAUCCUGGGCAAAAGCCGUUUUAAUAGCCAAUCUAUUUAAUAUGUCACAUAGGUGACGGUUUUACUGUGAGAGAGUCUGACGGUUUGUCUGAUGCUCAACUACUUGCUGGUUGCGGAUCACAUUUGAAACUGAGGGAAAUUCUAAUCACAUUACUGAAUAAUUCACAAAAUCUUUCAUAGUAUCAAUAUUGGGUCAGAUAUUUAAUAACACAUUGCUUCACUACAAUCAUGGAAAUAGUAUAGAUUAUGUAUCUUUCUUUGUUUCGUUUGUAUUACGUGUCAGUAAUGUCUGGCCAUAAAAUAUCAAAUAGACAAAAGAAUCAAGAAUGUUAAAUGUUUAGCAGAAUAUUACUUAUAUUUAUUUACACACCACGACAAAAAUGAAAAGGGAUCAGAUGUAGAGAUUCCAUCUUUAAUCUCCUGACUGAUGAAUCAUAAUGAAUCUUUUUUUUGCUACUCAGUCUUUUUAAAUGUGAGGCCAUAUUUUCUAAUUAAAUAAUCUUUCUGAUGGUUUCACUCAUGCCCAUUAUGAGAAUUGAAAAUUUGCAAGUGAAGCAACACAAAGGGAUUAGGGUCCUCUCACUUCUCCUCCAUCUUUACCACAUUGUUCCCAGAUAACUUAAUGUGCUCAAUGUAACGCAAACACAGGUUUUUUUGCCAAUAUCCUAAACAAUCAUUUUUAAGUUGCUGUGAGCCGUCAAAAAUAUUAUCCAGACUACUUUGUCAUCUAUAGUGGAUAUUUGCAUUUAACCGCAUUCUGAAAAGCCAUAAUUGUAGGAUGUUGAUGUUUUUUGAUUUAGUAAUUAAAUGAGGGUCUACCGCUGACCAAUCCGCUGUGCCCGACUACCGGCGUCACAGCAGCAGCCGAUCCCCGGCAGAGGCAUCGCCCCCACCGCGCUCACCAAGCGCCGCUUCACCAUCACUCUUUCUGACUGGAGGGCCUGUGUUUUCCCGAGGUCACGGAAGAUCAAUGUUGACUCCACGCUGUAAUCAUCUGAGGAAUAAGAUUAGCAUAUUUUAGCGGCGAUUGAGUUGUCUCACUGGCUGCAGUGGGGAGGGGUGAUUAAGGAUUGAUUGUCCCAGUGAGAGCACUUGUGAAAUUCAGGAGACAAGGAUGGAGCAGACUGGAAAAAGCAGAGCAGCAAGACAAAGUGAGGAGAAAACACUGAAUGGUUUAGAUAAAACAAUGAAAAUCUCUUCCAACUCUUUGAUUCAUGGGUUGUAGAUUUUGACAAUUUAAUACAUUUGUUAAUGAGAAUAAAUUUGGUUAAUUGGGUCAUAUUUCGGCAGUUAAGAUGAAGUUUGAGAAGCUAGGACAGUUCGGGGAAUAAUUUUUCAUUUGAUAAAAGGGAGGUCAGUGCGAGUGGUUGGGUCAACUAAAGGUUUAGGGUUUACCUUCUUAUUGGAGACCUUCGUCUGAGCUGGAUAUGGCUGUUAGAAAGAAAAUGGUGUUUGAACUUUGUCAGGAUGUAGAGGCCACCAUGUGGGGAAGACGUCCAUGCUCCCAUAGUGCCACGAUACACAUGAAUACACAUGUCCAAAGCCCUUUGCAAUGGAAGCAGAUGGCACCCAUUGGAGGACACGUGGGACGGACUGUUAACACACUGCUGGCUCUUUGCCAAGUACUGUCUUCAACUCGUUUGCUGUGCUGUAUUUAGUUCAACCAAACAAACGUUGUCUUGCUGUUUUUCAGGACUUCCCUUCCGUGUAGACUUAGCAGUUAUAGUGGAACUUAUACUAGGUUGCUAAAUGGGAGCAACUGGAGAAGCAGCACACGUUUGUGGUAACAAGAAGACAAAAGACACACACAUGUUGUUUAUCAUGUGAGUUGUAUUUCUCAUGCACCUUCCUCGUCAAAUAAAAAAAAGAAAACGCUCUUCAAACUGCUCACUCUGUGUUGCCUUGUCAUGUGUUUGCUCAUAAAUAUUCAUAAAGAAAAUCUUAAAUUGUCACCAGGGAAAACAGGGAGCUCGUCCACGUGGCGUUCCAGUUGUUGUCACAGAAUAUAAAGAGCCCAUUACUCCGUCUGUUUGAGUAGCUGUGAAUGUCAUUACGGAGUCCUCAGCACACCUCCAGGUGCGUUUUGUGGAUAUCCAGUGGGGCAAAGGUUACAUCACGUUCACUUAUUGGCGGCCAUUACCUGCGCACUCACACCUGCUCCCCCAGAUGCCAGUACAUCGGCCCAGCUCAUCAGAGGGUGACUGACAGAUGCCAGCAGAGAUUAGAUCCAGCUGAUUAAGGUGGAUACUCGUAGCCUGAAAUACGCCUCUGAUGCUCUCAGAUGUCAGCCAUGAAAUGAGACAGACACUCCAAAUGAGGGAACAGCUCAAGCUAAUAUCCCAUUACGAAUGCUGUUUACUCCGCUUUUCUUAAUUUAGCUCGGCUCCCGUGGCUGUCGGGCUAAUCUGUGUUUUGGAAAGAAGGAGCGCUGCCAGAAACAUUUCCCUUGAAACCUAAAGAGUUCCCAACGAUAAAAGCCGGCUCUGAUUGCCAUCCAGGCCCGAAAUAUUCCCCCCAGCACCGGGCCGAGAAACGGACGCGGAGUGGCGCCUCCUGCUGCCCAGGAGUGGCAAAAUGCAACAGAGGCUCAUUUCAACCGCAGAAAAAUAAGUGUGGCCUUUGUGCUCGGGCUUUUGGAUGACAUCCUCUACUUAUGGGUGAAAGUACAUAACCUUAAAAUCAGAAUCAGACAAUUUGGAUUGAAAGUAAAUGACCUUCAUAUGAGUUCUUAAUAACAGAAUAUCACCAUUUUUGAUGUCAACAUUAUGGCCACCAGCGGCCCUGAGUCUAUUCGAUAAUGUACGGAAAACGUUGCCAUUUGUGCACAUUAACGUGAAUUGAGUGUUCUAUGGUACUAUGUGAUGAAACGUAUAUAAAUAAUAGUGGGUCUUUCCAGAAGUUAACAUUGGGACACAAAACCGCCUACUAAGGUUUAAUGAAACGGAAAAAAAGCUUCUUCAUAUUUUCAUCGUGAACUCGUACGUGCUGUAACAAGUAGUUAUCAGGAUUAGUGAGGCGGUUUACGUCAAGUAAUUACUUCUUCAAGUAUGUUAUUUAGAUUGAUGUUUAACUCUUUUUAAAUCUUAAAUCUCUUGCUUUACGUUUGGACGUUUUAUGUCAAUCACUUUGAAGUGCCUUGUUGUUGAAAUGUGCUAUACGAAUAGAACAGCCUUGAAGAGGCCUUGAAGAGGCCUUGCCUCGGACAAAGCGUGCCUCUUUUUAGGUUGUAAGGGUUAAAAUAGUCAUUCUUAACAUUUGCUUGAUUCUGGUUUCAGAAGGAUGAAGACGGUUGAAGGGCUGUUAGAUCAAAAAGAGGCCAGGGGUCUUCAACUAAAAUGGUCCAGUUAGAGCAUUUGUUAUUGUCACAUAACAAAGAACUGAAAAUAUGUACGACUGCAAAGAUAAAUAAUGUUCUAUCAAUUAACUACAUAAAAGUAGGGCUCCAUUUAAGAUAGAAGUGUUCAAAGAAGAUAAGAUUCCCGCUUUUCUGCGUCACUUCACAGUCUCAGCAAAUUAUAAAUAAUAAAUCCCCAAAAAACACAUUCUAAUAAUUGAGUUUAAUAGAAUAUAUAUAUAUAUAUAUAUAUAUAUAUAUAUAUAUAUUUUUUUUUUCCUGCCAGGAUGUUAAUCCUGGUCUUAAUGCAUCGGGCUCAGUGAGCCCCUCCUCAUGUGGAGGAGGGUUUUAAUGGGUUCUAAGUACAUGAGACACUGGUUUAGUGCUGCAGUGGGAAGUAUGAACAGAAACCAGUCAGUCUAUUGUGGAUUAAAUGCUCUACUUUCGCUGUCCAUUGGUUCCUCAUUUUUCUCAUCGUAUAUCUUUCUUUUCUUCCUACCAUCUUUUUAUUUGUAAUUACCUCCAUCUCUCUCAUCUGUCCGCAGCAUAGAGACGACAGCGUCCUGCCUGGAAUGCAAGGACUCGAUUGGUCGCGUAGUAUCACAUGGGAAGGUUUAACUUGAAUGUAAUUGGUCGGUGCUUCAAGUCACUACCGUAAAGACGACCUAAGCUGCGCCGCUCGAAAAGUGCGCCGUCACGUUUAGACCACAACCGUCUCUUGUUAGCUGUGGGUCUGGGUCCGGAUCGGGCCAGUUAGUGACCUCUGAUGUAGACUAUUUGGCGAGUUUAUUUCUAGGCAACGCACAGGUCAUCAGGCAUUCAAUAACCAGAUGGUUUUAAGAAAGUCUCUAUAAAGUAGUUGACUUUAAGGACUCUCCCUCGGGGGGAAAUACGCCCCAGAGUGGCUUCUAGUUUUGGGUUGAGAUGUUUGCUACUUGAUGGCUAACAUUCACACCCUGUGUCACCAGGUCCACUGCAGACAGGGUCAGGGUGCAUGGGGAUGGAUAUACAACCCAUUUGUACCUUUGGGGUGUGAAAGUACCCAUGGUGAGGAUAGGUCAGCGGUAUCGGUAUUUGUGCUCAACAACUUGCUCCUCUAAUACGAACUCCCAGAUACGGAUUUUUUCUAUCAUAUAGCGUGGAAACAAACGACGAGGCAAAAAAUGCUUUUGGCUGCACGUUUAUUCCACCCAACAACAUUAAAACAAACAUUUACUUCCUGCUACUUUAACCUCCACCCUGGUUCCAGGGUUACGCCCCUUUCCCCAAAGGGGCGUGACCAUGGUACCAUGGUUACGCCCCUUUCCUUUAAAGGGGCCCCGUGAAUUCAGUCUCCCACAAUGUGACAUUAGUUAUUAGUAUAUAAUGUUAUGCUGAUACUGUAUGAAAGAAAGUUAUUUUUAUUUAAUUCUCAUUGGGGUUUGAUAUGGAAUCAUCUUUAGUGUCAUGACAGCUGGCGGGAUUCCCUCCUCUUUAUUGGAUUGUUUUGUGCUGAGCUCCAUUCAAUUCAUUUGCGGCCUGUUUCGCAUCAUAUUAAUUAUAAAAUGGAUUUAUGAAUGGAUUUGUAAUUUUUCACAAAGACGCAGUGCUGCUCCGGGUGGUCGACAUCCCUCCGUUGUUCCACCACAUCAAAUAGUGGGUUGCUGCUGUAUUAAUGCUCUGAAUGCUAAUUAUUGCUCCUUUUAACAGACAUAGACAACAUAUGAAAAUGGGGCAAUCCAUUCAUCAAAUGUUGUGGUAAAAUAAAAUGUAUAAUGCCUCAUCUAUCCAAGUCAAAUGGCACACAUUAAAACAUGUGAGCAGCACUGCGCCUCAUUCCCCUUUGCGCUAUUGUUCCUGUACCCAAGCCUCCCGGUGUUUGGCCUCUGCAACAGUCAAUAAUUGGUGAAUCAGACGCUGAAAUGAGGGGGGGGGAGGCUGACAGCACGGCGAUGUUCGCUCCGUUUUAGCCUUUAGAUCUGCCAGCAUGUAACACAAAGUGACAGGCAAAGCCGACUCCAGAAAUCAAAGCCUCCUUUAGCUUCCACAUUCUGCGAAUGGAACUAUUGGAGUGGCUUAGAAAAACUUCAAAGCCAGGGAGAAGGGGACUUUUUUUAAUUUCAGAUAAGGCCCCGGAGCUGGAUGUGAACUGCUGGAAUUGUAGAAGUUCACAUCUUAAUCGACGUGACCAGCUGAAUUGAGGAGUGCAGAACUCAUCUUCCGAGUCCUGUUUUUUCUCUCCCUCCUGUUUUUUUAUUUGACUUUUAAAAUAAAUGGUAUAAUCGAAAGAUGUUUCCAAACCUUGAAGGGACGAGCGACUGAGAGUGAGUUUGUAUUGAUUUGAAAAGAGCUUUGGUUGGCUUGAAAUUUACUUGCUUAGUUAAGCUGCAGUAGGAUCAUCAGCUCCAUUGAUUUUAGUGGGAUGCUGUUGUCAUUAUCAAGUGGAGAUAAUCUCUCCUAAAUCAGCCUUGCUGCGUGAGCAGGAACUCCUUUAAUGUGUUGAGCUAUUGACUCUAGUCUGUUCUGUGUGUGACUCUGUGGUUGUGUGCACACGGUGUAACCCACUUACGUCUUUCCUUGUACUGGAGGUCCAACCCAGGAACAAAGGCCAGUGUCAUAUUGUCACAUAAAUGAUCCCGGCGAAGCAGGUCGGCCAUGCAGGGUGCAGUGGGCUGACACUGACGUAUUACUCACAAUAUGUGCUCCCACAAAGACUUGAGAUCAAACAUUUUAUUUUUCAGGCCUGUGAGCAUGUAGUCAUGACUAUCUACCCGGCUCCGUUCACCCGAUAGUUAGAACAAUAACUAGAGGAAAAAUAAGAACCGGCCACGCACACAUUCUUGGUCGCUACGUUACUCGGAUGACGGACGGUGUAGAACCGUUGACUCACCCAACAGUCAUUGUGACGGCACCGUUUGCUUGGUGGACUCCCCUUUUGAAGCCUGGAGUCUGGCAACUUUACCAUCACCUUGUUGUAUUUUUUUGGCAGACAAUGAACAUUGUUACUAUGUUUUAAUAUGAAAGAGUAACGUGAAAGCAGCAGCGGUAACCUGUCAAUCAUUAUGGUCUAUUUGACUAAAUGGACCAUCAUUUACUAAAUGAACAAGAAGACUUGAAAUAAGAGACUGAAACCAUAAACUCGUGUUUAUGGAGGAAAUAAAUGGAGUUAUUUUUCAUGGACUUAGAGUCGCCCCCUGCUGGUCAGU